rnacentral:tRNA from 1 species
GGGGGUAUGGUGUAAUGGCAACAUCACUGACUCCAGAUCAGUGGCUGGAGGUUCAAUUCCUUCUACCCCCA